UCCACUUACCCACAACCCAUUCCCAAUCCCUACCCAACUUCCUCUGCGAACGAUGCGAAGCAGCGAAAAGAAACGGCAAUUUCGAAGCGAAGACGGCGAAGAAGAAGAUGAGAAGCAGAGGAUGAAGAUCUGGUUAUUGGAGAUGGCAGAAGGCAAGAAUCAGAGAAGCGAGAAGCGGUGGGCAAGAAAUGCAAAUCUGGUUUUUAAUUUUUUUUUUUUGUGAAUUAAAAAAUAUAGUUCGUAUGUUGAGUUUUGAAGAUGAAGAUGAUUUCUGUGAUGGGUUAAUAGUCAGUUUCAUUAUUUUUUUAAUUUGUUUUUAAUUUGUGAAUUUUCUUCCAUUCUGUUCUGUUCCAUAGCUCCAUGUGAGGGGAGGAGAAGAAGAGGCGGUAGUGUUUUCCAUUAUUUUGUUCCUUUACUGAAUAUCGGUGAGAUUUUGGAUGAAGAUGAGAUCAGGGAUAAUUUAGACUUUUUAGAAGAAAUGGAGAAGAAAUAGAAUCAGCCAAGGGAGAAACGUUGCUCCCAGCAGCGUUUAGAAAAUUACUCUUGCUGAGUAAUUUGUGCGAUUCAUCAAAUCGCAGAUGGCUUUCAUUUUUUUUUUUUUCAAUUUAAUCUUAUAUAUUGAAAGGUAUAUCUGCGAAUUCCUAAGAUGACUAACAUUCAUUUAUAUUUUUCCAUUAUAACAUAUUGAUUCGUAUAUUUCUUCAUCGAAGUGAUGCAUGGAAGAUCUGAGUACAGAUCUGUGUUUUUAAAGUGCUCAGUAACCCUAAUUUCGCAUACGGCUCAAAGGGCAAUAGAUCUUCUAAAAGUAUGUGGUCUUUGGACAUAACAUGCCUUAACCUAUGGAGUAUCAAGGAUCACUCUUAGGCAUUGAUACACUUCUUGGUUGGCCUUUACACCUCCCUAUCUCUAAGGUGAAUUAAUUCUAUAGCAUUUUAUUUU